rnacentral:tRNA from 1 species
GGUGAGAUGGGUGAGUGGCUGAAACCACCAGUUUGCUAAACUGACGUACGGGUAACCGUACCGCGGGUUCGAAUCCCGCUCUCACCGCAA